GAAACGGUUGCUAAGACUGGAUAGGAAACAAAAAGGCAUCUUUUUGUUUUUAAAAGACCUUCUUACGAAGGUAUGCUUAAAGAGGGGCUUGCGCCACAUUAGUUAGUUGGUAGGGUAAAAGCCUACCAAGACGAUGAUGUGUAGCUGGACUGAGAGGUUGAACAGCCACAUUGGGACUGAGACACGGCCCAAACUCCUACGGGAGGCAGCAGUAGGGAAUUUUCGGCAAUGGAGGAAACUCUGACCGAGCAACGCCGCGUGAACGAUGAAGUAUUUCGGUAUGUAAAGUUCUUUUAUUGAAGAAGAAAAAGUAGUGGAAAAACUAUAUUGACGUUAUUCAAUGAAUAAGCCCCGGCUAACUAUGUGCCAGCAGCCGCGGUAAGACAUAGGGGGCGAGCGUUAUCCGGAAUUAUUGGGCGUAAAGGGUGCGUAGGCUGUUAGAUAAGUCUAUAAUUUAAUUUCAGUGCUUAACGCUGUCUUGUUAUAGAAACUGUCUUGACUAGAGUGAGAUAGAGGCAAGCGGAAUUCCAUGUGUAGCGGUAAAAUGUGUAAAUAUAUGGAGGAACACCAGAAGCGUAGGCGGCUUGCUGGGUCUUUACUGACGCUGAGGCACGAAAGCGUGGGUAGCAAACAGGAUUAGAUACCCUGGUAGUCCACGCCGUAAACGAUGAGUACUAAGUGUCGGGGUAAAACUCGGUACUGAAGUUAACACAUUAAGUACUCCGCCUGAGUAGUACGUACGCAAGUAUGAAACUUAAAGGAAUUGACGGGACUCCGCACAAGCGGUGGAUCAUGUUGUUUAAUUCGAAGAUACACGAAAAAUCUUACCAGGUCUUGACAUACUCUGCAAAGCUAUAGAAAUAUAGUGGAGGUUAUCAGGGAUACAGGUGGUGCAUGGUUGUCGUCAGUUCGUGUCGUGAGAUGUUAGGUUAAGUCCUAAAACGAGCGCAACCCUUGUCGUUAAUUGCCAGCACGUAAUGGUGGGGACUUUAGCGAGACUGCCAAUUAAACAUUGGAGGAAGGUGAGGAUUACGUCAAAUCAUCAUGCCCCUUAUGAUCUGGGCUACAAACGUGAUACAAUGGCUGUGACAAAGAGUAGCUGAAACGCGAGUUUUUAGCCAAUCUCAAAAAAGCAGUCUCAGUUCGGAUUGAAGUCUGUAACUCGACUUCAUGAAGUUGGAAUCGCUAGUAAUCGCGAAUCAGCAUGUCGCGGUGAAUACGUUCUCGGGGUUUGUACACACCGCCCGUCA
rnacentral:rRNA from 1 species